AGGUCACUGAUCACAUCACAGCAGGUCACGGAUCACACCAUAAUAGGUCACUGAUCACAUCCCAGUAGGUCACGGAUCACAUCAUAAUAGGUCACUGAUCACAUCACAGCAGGUCACUGAUCACAUCAUAAUAGGUCACUGAUCACAUCACAGUAGGUCACUGAUCACAUCAUAAUAGGUCACUGAUCACAUCAUAAUAGGUCACUGAUCACAUCAUAAUAGGUCACUGAUCACAUCAUAGUAGGUCACUGAUCACAUCAUAAUAGGUCACUGAUCACAUCACAGUAGGUCACUGAUCACAUCAUAAUAGGUCACUGAUCACAUCAUAAUAGGUCACUGAUCACAUCAUAAUAGGUCACUGAUCACAUCAUAAUAGGUCACUGAUCACAUCAUAAUAGGUCACUGAUCACAUCACAGUAGGUCACAUCUUUGGACAGUUAAGCACUGUUCAUUUAUGUCAGCAUCCAACAAACUUUGUACUGUAACUUUCCAAAACAGAUUGACUAAAUGGAUCACUAAUGGAAGCUGACAUAGUGGAGGAACUUGCAGAGAUUUCAAUCAAAAUCCCACAUGAGGAUUUAUUGGUAUUGUUACAGCGUCCUCACGGCAGUAGGUACGCAUAUUGAUCUGUCCUGUGUGUCUCUUAAUUAGAUGAUGGUGAUUAAUGACGGUAGGAGUAGGAGUUGUAUUACAAGUCUGCAAUGCCUGAAUGAUUUCUCUCUCUCUCUUUCUCAUAAAGGAUUGAGAGACAAUAGCCUCACCCUUCCGGUGCUGAACCAUUUCUGCUUUGUUUUUUAUAAUCACAUCCAGCACAUAAAUGUGAUGAGUUGAGGGCACAGGUUUUAGAAAAUGACAUGAAUCAUCCAAUCAAAUUAGCCAUGAUCUGUAUAACAACCCUACACACACACACACACACACACACACACACACACACACACACACACACACACACACACACACACACACACACACACACACACACACACACACACACACACACACACACACACACACACACACACACACACACACACACACACACACACACACACACACACACAAAAACUAUA